UCCUACGGGGGGCAGCAGUGGGGGAUAUUGCACAAUGGGGGGAACCCUGAUGCAGCGACGCCGCGUGGGUGAAGGAGUGCUUCGGCAUGUAAAGCCCUAUCGGCAGGGAAGAAGCAAGACGGUACCUGACUAAGAAGCCCCGGCUAACUACGUGCCAGCAGCCGCGGUAAUACGUAGGGGGCGAGCGUUGUCCGGAUUCACUGGGUGGAAAGGGAGCGUAGACGGCCAUGCAAGCCAGGGGUGGAAGCCCGGGGCCCAACCCCGGGACUGCCCUUGGAACUUUGCGGCUUGAGUGCGGGAGGGGG
rnacentral:rRNA from 1 species